CUCUAUCAAGAUAGUUGUUUAUCUUUGGAGAUGUAAUGUUUGGCUGCUGUAAAUAAAAGACCUUUCCUGCUUCCUUCCUCUCUGGCCUCCGCGACUCUUUCCCCACCCACACACAGACGCCAUUCUUGAUCGCUUCAUUUCAAUGGCGAGGUUUAUCGUCUUGUAAGGUAAUUCUAUUUCCAUUCGUCGAUUUCACAUCCAAUUUCUCCUUCAUUACCAUCUACAUCUCAAUUCCAUUUCCAAAUUAAUACCCUAAUUUCACCUCUUUUCUGUUUUAGGUCAACUUGAUCGGCAAUUCGGCAUGUCAUCUUCUUAGAUCUACUUUUUUUUUUCUCAAUUCAUUCUCUUAAUUUUAUUCUUGUGUAAAGAGGAACCCUGUCAAAGUUCAACUUGUGGGGUUCUUGAUUUUUGUUUUUCUAGGUUUCGAUUGAAUUGGGUAUUUUUGUUAAAUUGUUGUGGAACCUAGUCAUGGAUGGUAACAAGGAUGAAGCAUUGAAGUGUAUUGGAAUUGCUAAAGAAGCGAUUGCAUCUGGUAAUAAACAACGUGCUCUUAAAUUCAUUAAGAUUGCUCAGCGUCUUAAUCAUACCUUAUCUCUCGACGAUUUGAUUUCCUCUUGUGAAGAGAUGGAUUCUUCGGUAUCUGGUUCUGCUCAUAAUGGUACCGAUGCAAAUACGAACGAUAGCGAGGGUUCGUCACCUGCUAAUACUAAAACCACUGCUGAGGCCUCCGAUGGGGAGAGAAAUUAUACCCAAGAACAUGUCAAUUUGAUCAAAGAGAUCAACAAACAUAAGGAUUAUUAUGCAGUACUUGGUGUUGAGAAGACAUGUUCUGUAGAAGAGGUUAGAAAAGCUUAUAGGAAAUUGUCUUUGAAGGUUCACCCUGAUAAGAACAAAGCCCCUGGCGCUGAAGAGGCAUUCAAGAAGGUUUCCAAGGCUUUUAAGUGUUUGAGUGAGGAGGAUUCUAGGAGACAUUAUGAUCAAACUGGUUUUGUGGAUGAAUUUGAGUAUAAUCAACAUCAUAAUGUUCGAAGGCGGAGACGAAGAACUAAUAAUGACUUUUUUGAUGAUGAGUUUGACCCUGAUGAAAUAUUUAGAUCAUUUUUUGGUCAAUCAGACAUGUUUCGAACAUCUUAUGUUUAUAGAACUAGGGGAAUGGGAACUCAGCCGAGAACAGAUGUGAAUGGUGGAGGUCCCAAUCUAAUGGUGUUUUUACAAUUGGUGCCAUUUUUGUUGAUAUUAUUGCUUGCUUAUUUGCCAUUUUCGGAGCCGGAGUACUCUCUGCAAAAAAACUAUUCUUAUCAAUUUCCUCGUGUGACGGAGAAAUAUGGGGUUGAGUUCUUUGUUAAGUCUCCUGGCUUUGAUCGCAGCUAUCCUAUAGGAAGUGCUGCUCGAGAAAAUCUUGAGGAAAAUGUUAUUCAGGACUACAAAAACUUGCUUGGACGCUACUGCCACAUUGAGCUUCAACGCCGUCAAUGGAGUCGUAAUUUGCCAACUCGAUAUUGUGAUAAGCUCCAGAGUUUUGGGGUGGCAUAAGGGUCUUAGGAGAAUGGAAAACCAUGGGUCUACAAAGUAUAAGUUGCAACCCUUAAGUUUGAUAUGUGCGAAAAUCAGUAACCAUAAGCUUUGUGUCCCUCAACUGGUCCACCAUAUAUAGCAACAGAGCAUACGAUUAGUUCUUAGAAGGCCAUUUCAUUAUUAGGAAAAAAGAAACACGGUGGAAGUUGAAGAGAUGUGUGUGUUGAGGUGUAUUUGUGCUUCCUAGUUAUGUUACUUUAUGCUGUGGUAAGCUGAUGUCUUGUGAUUUGUGAACCUCUGAACGGAAAUUUUAUUCAGCUUAAAAUCGUUGCAAAUUUUUUGUCAGCUUGAUGGACUAUUUGGUUUUCCAUAGAACUGUCUACUGUAUGAGAUGUGGUUAUGGUAAAUUGCUGGAUUAGGUCACUUUUUCAAAGCCCCUGAAAUAUGAAAAAGGCAGUUACUGAUGAAUUGCAGGUUACUGGAAAUCUCGAUACCCUGCUGCUUCCGACUAAAAUCUUAAACCAAUGGUUUGUUUAUGUUUUUUUAUUCAAGAGACCAGAAUUUCGGAACAGGGAUUACUGGUGGUUGAUAACCAUAAAUUAUUAAAUCGUCUUCGAAGGGUAUAUCUAUUAUCUUUGAAGAUGAGUUGAACUACAUUUAGCUGUUCCAUGAGAUUGCGUCUAUAUCAUUUAUUAAGUGCAAGAAUAUUUUCAAAGCAGUGGAUGUUUGUAAUGCAUGCCCUUACUCUCACAAAAACCAAAGACCAGAUUAAUUUUUCAAUCUAUAUGAAUGAAUUGGAGCUAUGAGUGAUGAGAAUGCUAAUCAUUUCCCGUCGACUGAUUUUGCUGUGUACGCUUGUAACUUGUAAUAGAUGCUGCUAUUGAGGAAUGUGAUCAGUAGUUUCAUGUGCAAUUUAGCUUGAAUAGUAAUUGCUUGGAGAAUUUCUCUAUUAUGGGGCUAUUUUAUAUGGUGAAAGUUAAACAAGCAAAACAAGAGGAGCUAGGCCUGUGGAUCUGGAAUUUCACGUCUAAAUAUGGCCAAACGUGCAGCAGCAUGGUAACAUAGUAGAGACAGGAUUCCAUGGUUUGAAUACGGGAACCAGAGUUUUGGCUCGUAUGCUACGCAGAAGUGGCGCUGGUGACUGUUUAGCUGAUUCACUUUUACCGUCCUGCAUUCAUAUGUGAUGGUAGCAAGGAAUCUGUUUGGUAUCGGCGUUUGCAACGUCAAUUUAAGAGUUUACUUUGAUAAUUAAUACUGGACCUAUACAUAGGAUUAUCAUGUGUAGCAAUAAAUAAAUUUAACCCAGUGCUGGUACAGAAUGCCUCAAUAUUUGAAGUUAUUUGAGGUUUCAUCAGGGAGUUUGAUAUAUUAUUAUUGGAUGAUAUAUUAAGGUGUUAAUAUGAGAUUUACAACCACCUUUUUUCAUCGUGCUAA